rnacentral:sRNA from 2 species
AAAAAUAAAACGCCGAAUCCCCAGCUGGGGUACGGAGGAACCGCGGCCCUCACUAGGUCGUUCUGCAGCCGAUUUCCGGUUGCGAGGGGUGAAUCUUCUUCGGAAGAAGGCCAACCUUUCUGGCCCAACCCGUCAGCUAACUCCGAAGGCGCUUGGAAAGGAUGA